rnacentral:miRNA from 1 species
AAAAGAAGAUAUUUUAAAAUAUAUUAGAAACCUGUAACCAUUGACUUCCAUAGUAUUUGUUUUUCCUACUGUGGAUGUCAAUGGUUACCAGUUUUCAGCUUUCUUCAAACUAUCUUGUUUU